GUUCACUUCAACCCCACGAUCCUAAGCACACCUGUACCUGCCCUGGAAUCCCUCAGCCAUGUUUGUCCCACAGAGCAUCACUAUCAAACAGUUCACUGUGGACUCCUCGUAGCAGAAGUACAGUAGGGGACAGCAAGUGUCAGCUCCAUCAGGACCCCUGAUUUAAUUAUUUACUGUGGAACCAUUGUCCUGAGUCAGGAGGAUAGAUGAGGAAAGAAUGAGAGCGUGGCUGGCAUCGCUUCAUGAUUACAUUCUGGGAAAGAUCUUGCCUGUUAACCUCUAGAGAAGGAGGGACGAUACAGACAAUGAAGACUAUAGCAGACUGAAUUACUCUCUGAGAUGAGGACUUUGCUAUUGCCAUUGCAGAACCACUGGUGGAAGUUGUUGUUAAACAGUGGGUCUUGCAUGCAAGCUCUACAGUUAUGCACAGUAUUUCCAUGACAUCCCAAGCCAUGAGGUUCAUGCUGCCAUAUCCCCCUGUUUAACAAGUGUGGAAACUGAUAAUGGACUCACAAUUGCUGAUGUAUAGGUUCUAAUGUUUUCUAUUGUGGACACGGGACACCCAGACUGAGAACCAAUGGCUCCAGUCUGAUUUAAACAUGGGUCCGUGCUCACACACUCAAUACCUACCCUCUGUGCUCACAAGUCCUGUGUGAGUAAGACUCCAAAUUAUUCUGUCUUGUUUUACUCAAUGGUAUGCUCUACCUUAUUAUAGAGUAUACCAUGUAUUGAGACAAGAAUGCCAGUCAUUCUGAGAAACAAAAUGCAACCAUUAGUUGUCAUUUUAAUUAGUGACGAAUAGUUGUGUCAAUCAUCAAACAUGCUUGUAUAAUUGGAUGAGAAGAGGUGUAACACGGGCCAAUGAUGACGAGGUUUCGGGAUUAUAAGUCACGGACGAUGACUACGUCACUAGAGGUCUGAGGUCCAUAGCAGAAGAUGCCUCAUGUGACCCUCUCAUGCAGGGGUUGCAUGUCAGGCAUGUGCAUACA
ensembl:processed_transcript Rian RNA imprinted and accumulated in nucleus